GGGGCCGCGUCCGGCCGGUCCCGGAAGGUGCUCUUUUCCCGCGCGCCGCCUCGAGGGCGCAGCCGGCGCUCGGGGGUCACGUGAGCCCCCGCCUCGCGCGGCGGGCCGUCCUGAGGAGAGGGCUCCUCCUACCGCGGGCCCGGGUCCGGGGGCUGACGGACUCACGGCGGAGCACGGAGCCGUGCGGGGUCCGGUUCCAGUGGGGAGGCGGCAAACCGAGCGUGCGGACGGGAGGAGCGUGGCCUGCGCGGGAAGCUCCGCGCCGCGCUCGUUGUUCCGGCGAGAAACGCGUCCUGUGAACGCCUCGUUUGUUAGGACCGUACCAGACGCCAGGCAUGCGGCAGGGAACAAGGCAGGCACUUCGCGAGUUCACAGUCUGUUGAAGAAGCCCGGCAAGGAAACAAUUGAGAGGCGUUGUGGAACAAGGACGGGCGUCGUAAGAGCCCCGGGGAGACACGGGCAGGAGGUCUCAACGGCUUUCCCACGACGUCUGAGUGACACGUGAAGAGACGAUGUAACGAAGGCCGAACACCCAAGUAAAGGAGACGAGAUGGGAAAGUCCAGAGACGCGGGCGCGCUGAGCACUGGGGGAGGUGGUUCUGUGCCGCAGGGAUACAGGAGUUGCGGGAAGAUGGUGGGAGAGUUGAGGUGAGAGGUAGGCAGAGAACCUUGUGCAUCUGGUUGGUGCUGUUUCCAAGUGUGGAGCAGGAUCUUUCGUUGCUGCGCCAGACUCUCCAGCCUGUGUUGUGGCACGCAGGCUCAGUAGUUGAGGCGCUUGGGCCUAGUUGAUCGACGUGCAUGCAGGAUCUUUGUUCCUUGACCAGGAGUUGAACCCAUGUCCCCUGCAUAGGUUUUCUCCGCUCACAUCAGGCCUCAGCGGAAAGCUCACCCACCGGGCACUCUCGCGGGACGGGAGCAGGAGGGGGUUCUGCCCGUCGCCGCCCAGUGUCUGGCUUCAGGUGCCCCUCUCUCUUACGAAGCUGUUCUGAGUCUAACUCCUUGAACAGCACGAGAAAAGAGUGGACAGGACAGAACGCCUGCUGGGCCAACGAGAGCAGGUUAGUGGACAGAACGCUCUCAGCUGAGUAACUGCUCUCACUGCGGCUCUGCUGUGCGCAGCCCGUGAACGGCACAACCAUUUUCCCUGCGUGUCUGUCUGUGGAAAGAAUUAGGCUCAGUCAAAUGUAAAAUACACAUCAGUUUGCUUUAAAUGCAAAGAUUAACGUUUUCCUUACUUUGUUUUUGGCUCAACUGCAACAUAACUCCAGAAGUCUCUGCUUUAAUAAUACAAUAUGGAAAGUUCACAUAUGUACAUGGGUACAUUCUUUCAUUAAAGUUUUCCCUUAAAUCUG